ensembl:lncRNA
UGUGAUGAUAGCUCUAGUCCAUAAAUGUGGAUUCUUACUCAUCACCUCCUCAUUCAGCUGUACUGGGACACUAACAUGGAACAGUGGGGGGAUGUGUUUCAGACCUGGAAAACCACCUUCUGGGUCGUGCAAGUCCACACAUGCCUGUUUGGGAAUGCCUGUCUCACUAAAGGAAACUCCCUGGCUGUCUCUCAGGUUUUAUAACGAAAACAUAGCUGUAAACCAGGCACAGCUUAAGACAGGUGAGUCUGAACCUUAG